UACGUCUCUGGACGAAGCGACUAUUGCAUAACAUCUGUUAUGUAAUAGGAGGAGACUGGUCUACUGCGCCGUAAUGGAAGCAAAGACCAUAAGAAAAGAGAGAAGAAGAAGAAGAAGAAGAAGUAUAAACACCACUCUACUGCGCCGUAAUGGAAGCAAAGAUCAUAAGAAAAGAGAGAAGUAUAAACACCAGAGAUUAAUAAACAUUAUGAUUUGUCAAUUGCAAGGAUAAACGAAAUAAAUGUCGAUGAUGGAUAAAAUUGCAGAUUGUUGUCGUGCCUGUUUGAAAAUAGAUUGUAAACUUACUUCUAUAAGAAUCCAGGACACUGACUCUAUAAAGUUUUUGGACAAAUUAUUAGUAUGUGUAGCUGAAGUGCAUAUGUCAUGGAUGACCUGCUAGAUUUGAGUCUUCCUCAAGAUGGAAUAUCUGGGAUUGUGGACAUCUUCAAUAGUUAUGACCCUUACAUACAGUUCACCAUGGAAACUGAGAACAACAAACAAUGGGUUCCUUUCCUUGACACUAAGGUUAUCAGAACACCAGAUAAUACUCUACUCAUAGAUUGGUAUCGUAAGCCUAUCAGUUAUGGAAGGUUCUUGAACUAUUGGUCAUACCACAAGCAGUCAAAGAAAAUUAAUUUGGUCAAGCAAAUAAAGAACCGCCUUCUGCAGAAUUCCGAUCCUUCUUUUCAUAACAAAAAUAUAAAUAUACUUUUUCAA